CAGGGAGAGAAAAAAUAGCCACACGUCCCCCUCUUUGACUUGUAGUUGCAGGUUGCAAUCGCAGCUGUUUCCGAGACUCUUGCCUGGACACAAAGAAAGGUAGCUGCAUCUGGUCUCGCCGCUUCGCUGCUGUUCGUCUGUGCCCGAGAGAGACCGACCGGGCGCUACCUACUCCUCGUCUCCGAUGCCUCUCCUCCUGCUUCAAGACCUUCCAUUUGUCGGCGUCGCCACACCACUGAACCGUGAAGUCCCACCGGCGUGAUGUCCAUCGCGUGCUGCUUGCCGGUGGUGGAGUGCGUGUACUGCCUGGCCUGCACGCGGUGGGUGUGGCAGCGCUGCCUCCACACCACCGGCUACGACAGCGAGACCUGGGGCCUCGCCUCCUCCGGCGAGUUCGAGCCGGUGCCGCGGCUAUGCCGGUUCAUCCUGGCGGUCUACGAGGACGACCUGGAGACCCCGCAGUGGGCGCCCCCGGGCGGCUACGGCAUCGAGCCCCGGUGGGUGGUGCGGCGGAGGACGCCCGAGCACGCGCAGGGGCGCGCCCCGACGUACCUGCUGUACGUCGAUCACCGGCACGCGGACGUCGUGCUCGCCGUCCGCGGCAUGGACAUGGCCAAGGAGAGCGACUACGCCGUGCUGCUGGACAACAGGAUCGGCCAGGCGGGCUUCGACGGCGGCUACGUGCACAACGGCCUGCUCAAGGCCGCCGAGUGGGUGCUCGACGCCGAGUGCGACGCGCUGAGGGACCUCCUGGCCACGAACCCCGGCUACACGCUCACGUUCGCCGGGCAUUCCCUCGGCUCCGGCGUCGCGGCCAUGCUGGCUCUGCUGGCGGUGCGCGACAGGGAGAGGCUGGGCGGCGUGGAGCGGAGGAGGAUACGGUGCUUCGCCAUGGCGCCUCCCAGGUGCAUGUCGCUCAAUCUGGCAGUCCGUUAUGCCGACGUCAUUAACUCGGUUAUUCUUCAGGAUGAUUUUCUGCCUCGCACGGACAUUCCUCUGGAAGACAUUAUCAAGUCACUUUUCUGCUUGCCAUGCCUUCUCUGUGGAAAUUGCCUUAUAGCUACAUGCAUACCUGAAAGUGUGAUGCUAAGAGAUCCAAGGCGCCUCUACGCACCAGGCCGUCUUUACCACAUUGUUGAGAGGAAACCUUUCAGCACAAUGGCUCGCGGCGAACAUCAAGACGAUGAUGGUGACUUCAUGGAGUUACCGCAACAGAAUCGCGCAACUGGUCGUACAAAAGAUGGCGAUGAGAAGAAGAAACGUUAUCGCAAUAGGGUUUCACAAGAACGCCUGACUAUAUUGACCGAGGGAUUUACUGACGAGCAGAAGGGAGCUGCUAGUGAGAUGGGGAUGCAUGCUCUGAUGGAUGUUCGGUGCAAGAACCUAGUGAACCCUGUAUGCGACUGGCUCGGUGAGAUUUAUGAUCCUGCCUCCAGGGAAUUUGUGAUUCCGGGACGUGGAAGGCUGCCUUUGGACAAGGAAUCCGUGUUCUGCACUUUGGGUGUGCCCCAGGGAGAAAUCAAAGUCCCGUACGAGGUGAAGAAUCCUUGUUCGCCCGUUUGUUUCCUGGGAUGGCAUCCAUGCCGAAUACGACUGUGCUGGCAACUUCGCUGGAGGGCAUGAAAACCCAUGGCGAGGUUUUUAAGAUGAAGCUCCUCAUGUACCUGAUCUCAGCUGUUUUUGCGCCUACCAGAUCUCUUCGCCCAAGCAACAAGUGCUUCCCUAUCCUGGCAAAGCUGAAAGACGUGAAGAACAUAAAUUGGUGUAAAUUCAUCGCGGACUUCCUGCAUGAUGCAUUCUCAGACAAGAUGUACCAGAAGGGCUGUCGCUUGCACUUAAUGCUCAUGUACGUUGAUCGUCUUGAUCUGUCCACCGUCGACUUUACUAGGAUAGGAGGCCCGCUGCCUCCACAUAAGUUUGUUGUCUCUGCGUGGACGUACGAUGCUGUCAAGGCUAUGCUUGCCGCAGACAGGGUAACUGAUACGAAAUAUGGGAAACUGUAGCUGAUGGCCAAGCAUGCUAUAGACUACAACGUGUUUGGUGUGCCUCAAAACUUUGGCAAGUGGAUGGACGUGCACUCAGCUCCGUCUUGUCCUGCUGAGGCGAGGGCACCUGUUGAGCAUCUAGUUGGGUAGUUUGCUUCCGGCUUGACCAGCUUGCUCGGGAAGUUGGUUGAGGGUUGGACGAUACUUAAUGGCUCUGACAGUGACGCGGUUGCGAGGCAGUUCACACCAUUUGUUGCAGAACAGACACAUCGACCAACUGGUUGUCAUGGCCGGUAUGACUACAACAGCCCCCAGGAGCUUCCUGACACACAAGAUGAACUAGAUGGAGAUGUUGGUCUCGACAAGGACGAUGAUGAUGACAUGGAGAAUGUGUAACAUGAAACUCGAUGAACAUGUUGAAGUACGUGCAGGUGGUAAGAAGGACAAGGCUGCACCAGAUGUCCCCCCACCGGAGAAAGUCAUUGAACAGACAGUUGCGAGAGACAAGGGGGUGUCGCCCUCAAAGAGGGGCAGGGCUCCAGAGGAUGUUGGGCAGGGCUCUGUUGGCAAGAGGUCUAGGACCGAUCCCUUAGUUGCUAGGAGGAGUGAGGCGACAGCUGGUGGACGAGUAGUUAUGAAGAAACAAGCACCAACGCCAACCCGUGUUUCUGCCCGAUUGAACAAGGGUGCCCCCAUUGCUGGUGACACCCCUUCCACUAGGUUGUCUCCUCGUACGUCGACGUCCAACACCGGGGAUCCUGUCGUAUUGGUAGACUUGAGGAAGACAGUCAAGAAGGUGAAGAAGACUACUACACGCGUGAGCAAGUAGAACACUAGAGACCCUCUCGAACACAUUCAUUCAAAGCUGUCGACAGGUGGCAACUCAGAUGUUCAUGAGGCGCCAGUCGACAAAACUGCUGCUGCACCAUCCACUGUUCCCACUAGCUCUGAUGCAAGCGGCCGACCAUCUUCGCCAGUUGCAGAUGUGCAAGCUACAACAACAGGCAUCCGUACAUCUGGGAGUGAUGAGUCAGUAUCUGCCAGGACUGCUGAGAUAUUGCCCACUCUGCUGGCAAUGAAGGAUGCUGCUGUGACCCAUGCCACCCGAUCAGCAAGUGUUGAAGUGCACGCUCCCGAUAUCAACCUAAGCAAGGAAGAUUCCCGCUCAUCUGAUACAGAUUCCAAGCGUGUGGCUGGUGGCACUUCUGCGUCCAUGGAAGAAGGGGUUGCGGCGACAAUUCAGAAUGAGAUGCCAUCCACACAUGAGAAUCUUGGCACAACAGCUCCAGCUUCUGGUGGUCCAGAGGUUGCUACGGCGACCAUUAGGCGAGUUGGUCUUCCACCUAGGCGGCGUAGCCCCCGCAAGCAAUCUGCAGACAUACCCAAUGCACCAGCUGUAGCUAGGAACAGCAGAGAUGACGCUGGUUAUGUGCUUGCGUCCACACUGUUCCCACCACCUGCCAAAAGCAAUGUUAUGGAGAAAACAACAGUCCGGAGUGCAACUGACGCGGGUGUCAAGCCGGGCACGACUGACGGAGGUGAACGUCCGGAGUAGACUGUGUCUUUACCCGCCAUGGAGAACCCCAGCUUAAAUCUGCACACUUCUAAGCUCCCAGUCAACAUUGGUGUCCCAUAUAGCCCAAACAAGAAGAUUGGCAAGAAAGUUGCGGUUGAUACCGCUGGCAGCACGCCCCGCCCUACUAAUAAGCCUGAUGAUACUGCAGCAGAUGAGGCAGAAAUGUUUGUUGAUCUGUCAUCCAUGGAUUCUGUGGAGCAACUUCCUCGCGAUCCGGCUGGUAGGGAGGAGAGGCACCCAAUGGCCUUCACCCCACCGAGCUGUAGCCUUGGCAUCGAUCGCAGUCAAGAUGAACCAGUGGUGCAAGAUCCUAUGUCAGUUGCCUUUGCUUUCCCGGCAGGCAUGGCCCCAAUGAUGGCGCAACCAAUGGCUGAUGGCAGGAAGCUAGGCUGUGAAGUUUGUAGAGCCGAUAGUGCAAGCCACCCCUGAGGAGAUUACACCGUCACUUGAUGAAGCUUACCGCAGGAUUGAGGAGGCAGCAUUGCAGAGGAGGUCCUUACGAGGUCAGGGGCAAUCAAGUUCUAACGUGCCUGCUGAGUCGGUAUCUGAGGAUACCGUUAGAAGUUCCACCCCUGGUUCUGUGAGGCAGCAUAGGGUAGUUCACGCACCGCCCGCGGAUGAUUAUGAGCCCGAAGUCAAGGCCACAAAGGAGCAGAACCAGAUGUACGAUAUUGUCAACCGUUUUGGAAAUGCGAGGUCCAACAGCAAGCACAUGAAGGAGCUGAAAGCAACCAAGAUUAUAUGAUGCGACGUACGUUGACCCUGGGUGAUCUUGCCGAGUCUGUGAGGCCACUUGGUAAAAUGUCGAAGAAUGUAGUUGCGUGUGGGAUUGACUUCAUCAACAGGCAUAUGGAUAUUUGUCCCGACAAAACAAUCAUGCAGUACAGUGUGACCUGCAAAAUAUGGGAUGGUGACUUCCACCAUAAAAUCCCGAGGAAGCAUUUUGCUGCGCAUGGUGAAUUCAAGCUCACAAUGAAGAAAUGUGUACUGUUCCCCAUGUUCCAGGAGCUUGCACCACACGACCCACAUGACAAGUGUGGUCACCACUAUGCGAUUUGCCUUGCCCUGAAGAACCAACGAUUUGAGGUGCUAGAUUCAAUGCGUUGAGAAGCUGAUGCAGACCUUACUACGCAUGGUGAACUCUUCAUCAACAACCUCAAAGAGACAUGGAACCGUCACUACGAAAACUCAAGGGUCUAGAUCGGUCAUUUCCCAAUCGAGUACGUCGCGACUACGAAGCAAGGAAACCGGCAUGACUGUGGCUUUCACAUGUUGGAAUACCUUGUAAAGUGGGAAGGUCGACAGGUCCCUAUCGUCACAGCUGCAAUGGUCGUCGAGCUCCGCAAAAUAUACACAUGGAACCGGUUGAUGAAUGAAGAUUUCAACACGCGCGCCAACGCAUGAGAGUUCAUAGAGGAAGCUGUCAAGAAAGCCAACAAGAAGUACAAGUGAUCACGUGGUGCUCCAUACCACACGCCUACCUUACAUUCUGUGGCUGAGGAAUGUAAGGUAUCAACUUGUUCUUUUAAAACUAUGUCUGUGUACUAUG